rnacentral:rRNA from 1 species
GACGAACGCUGGCGGCGUGCUUAACACAUGCAAGUCGAACGGAAAGGCCCCUUUGGGGGUACUCGAGUGGCGAACGGGUGAGUAACACGUGAGUAACCUGCCCUUGACUUCGGGAUAACUUCAGGAAACUGGGGCUAAUACCGGAUAGGAAUCCUUGCUGCAUGGUGGGGGUUGGAAAGCUUCGGCGGUUUUGGAUGGACUCGCGGCUUAUCAGCUUGUUUGUGGGGUAGUGGCUUACCAAGGCUUUGACGGGUAGCCGGCCUGAGAGGGCGACCGGCCACAUUGGGACUGAGAUACGGCCCAGAGUCCUACGGGAGGCAGCAGUGGGGAAUAUUGCACAAUGGGCGGAAGCCUGAUGCAGCAACGCCGCGUGCGGGAUGACGGCCUUCGGGUUGUAAACCGCUUUCAGCAGGGGCGAAGCUUGUGGUGACGGUACCUGCAGAAGAAGCAACGGCUAACUACGUG